UUUUUAUAAACUCAUGUUUUGCUCAUUGCCAAUCCGAAUCACAAGAUACAUGGUUGGGAGAGAAGUCACCUAGCGUUCGCCAUAAGACAAUUGCAAACGCAGUAGGUGACUGGUAUUUUGGGCGUGAAGCAGUAUGGGAGAUCGACUGCCCCUAUCCUUGUGACAUUACCUGCCGGAACUUGAUACCACGUACCUUGUCUAUCUACUAAUUUUAUUCCGGAUAGAUAAUUAGGUGGUGAUCGCACAUGUAUUAUGUAUCCCUGCUCGUGCUUCGCCCAAAUAUGAACACAUUUUUUUUGAGAAGUAUAAGAGCAAAUAUUUUUGGGGAGUCAUCAUGAAUAAAAUCAGCUAAUUACAUUUUUUCUGAGCA